AGAACAGCUCGCUAAUGACCUCCUAAUCCAAAUCCAACAUGCACGGACCGCUAGACCAGAGACCAAACACACCCAUGAGACAGCCGAGCUUUAUUCAACAUGAACAAACACAUGCUGCGAUGGAGACAAAUCUGAAACGAGAUCUUCGGAUCCUGCAAAAAGAAAGGGAAUAAUCUGCUGAGCAAGCCAAGAGGCCGACCAAGCACUGGGAUGACCAUUCCCUAACCAGGAGACCCACGCCGUCCACACCACCGACUGACCCAACCGGAGCUACAAGACGACGACCUGAUCCAAAACAGAGAACCUGCUUCGGUCUUUAAGCGCUUCACAAACAUCCUUGAUAGAGCAUGGCGAACGUGAAGCAGAACCAACAGAAGCCCUAACCACUCACGAAGAGAGUAGAGCACACUCGACCAGAUUAAUGAGAGAGGAAGCAAAAGGAGAGCAACCUCGGCGACGGAGACAAGCAAGCCAUAGAAGACAAACCCUAACCACGCCACAGAAAAUGUAGACGCAAGCCCACAGAAGAAACGAU
rnacentral:lncRNA from 1 species